rnacentral:rRNA from 1 species
AGAUUGAACGCUGGCGGCAGGCCUAACACAUGCAAGUCGAGCGGUAACAGAGAGUAGCUUGCUACUCUGCUGACGAGCGGCGGACGGGUGAGUAAUGCUUGGGAAUAUGCCUUAUGGUGGGGGACAACAGUUGGAAACGACUGCUAAUACCGCAUGAUGUCUACGGACCAAAGUGGGGGACCUUCGGGCCUCACGCCAUAAGAUUAGCCCAAGUGGGAUUAGCUAGUUGGUGAGGUAAUGGCUCACCAAGGCGACGAUCCCUAGCUGGUUUGAGAGGAUGAUCAGCCACACUGGGACUGAGACACGGCCCAGACUCCUACGGGAGGCAGCAGUGGGGAAUAUUGCACAAUGGGCGCAAGCCUGAUGCAGCCAUGCCGCGUGUGUGAAGAAGGCCUUCGGGUUGUAAAGCACUUUCAGUAAGGAGGAAAGGUUAAGUGUUAAUAGCACUUAGCUGUGACGUUACUUACAGAAGAAGCACCGGCUAACUCC